GUUUAACUAUGGUCGGUACACACCCCACCAUAUAACUAACUUCUAUACAAUACCAAAAAUGACUGGAUAUAACACAAAAAGAUCCGAAGCAUACUGGCACUCACCAGAAGUAGCUGGAUAUCCUGGGUUCUACUUGUAAGGUGUAUGAGCUGAGGUACCUGUGCCUGCAGCAUGAAAUGCAGGUCCCCCGUGGGGGAUGUCAGUACAAAAUAUGUACUGAGUAUGUAAAGCUGUAGAUAAUCACAUAUGAUAUAGGAGCUCAAUAGAAAUCAGAAACAAGUGAAUAAAUUGUAAUAGGAGUGGACCACACUUACUAGAACUUGUGAUAACUUGUACAUUGUAUUUCUUCAAUCACUUUACCUUCAUUCUUAUCAUCUUUGUAAUCAUUACUGUACUGUACUGUGACCAUUAGGCUGCCUCCAAUACAUAUCAAUUGGGAUCGAUCCAUGAUAGGCUUAUGCCCCUGGGAUACC
rnacentral:lncRNA from 1 species